AACGAACGCUGGCGGCAUGCCUAACACAUGCAAGUCGAACGAGACCUUCGGGUCUAGUGGCGCACGGGUGCGUAACGCGUGGGAACCUGCCUUUAGGUUCGGAAUAACUCAGAGAAAUUUGAGCUAAUACCGGAUAAUGUCUUCGGACCAAAGAUUUAUCGCCUUUAGAUGGGCCCGCGUUGGAUUAGCUAGUUGGUGGGGUAAAGGCCUACCAAGGCGACGAUCCAUAGCUGGUCUGAGAGGAUGAUCAGCCACACUGGGACUGAGACACGGCCCAGACUCCUACGGAGGCAGCAGUGGGGAAUAUUGGACAAUGGGCGAAAGCCUGAUCCAGCAAUGCCGACGUGAGUGAUGAAGG
rnacentral:rRNA from 1 species